CAAGGAUAGAAGGUAUUUAUGGCUCUUGAUGUUUCUCCUCAAGGUAAUCCUUGGCUUCAAUAGCUCCUCUUGUUCAAAGGCUCUAUAAAUUUUAGAAUUUGGAGUUUGUGCUCAAAGAUGGAGCACUUAUUCAUGGAAUUGCCACUAGNNNNNNNNNNNNNNNNNNNNAAGAACCUAGGAUUCACUUUCAGAGGAUGGACUCGAAUUCUCUAUGCAAGGGUCCAGUCCAUUGACCGGCCCAAAAGACCUGCAUAGGCCCAAUGUUUCCCUUGCACGAAUCUUAAAACAUGAUAAAAAAAUUAUGCCUUAUAUGCCCGGCAUGUGAGACUACAGGAGUCUGUCUUCUUUCGAAACUCCAUCGGGCAUGAGGAGUCUAGGGAUCACCGGAGGUCUAGAGUCAUCCUAUAAAAAGCUUCCUCUCUUUCCUCUAACCAUCUCACCUCAAAC
rnacentral:lncRNA from 1 species